UACGGAGGGGGCUAGCGUUGUUCGGAAUUACUGGGCGUAAAGCGCACGUAGGCGGCUUUGUAAGUUAGAGGUGAAAGCCCGGAGCUCAACUCCAGAACUGCCUUUGAUACUGGGAAUCUCGAGUCCGGGGAGAGGUGAGUGGAACGUCCGAGUGUAGAGGUGAAAUUCGUAGAUAUUCGGAAGGAACACCAGUGGCGAAG
rnacentral:rRNA from 1 species